GACGAACGCUGGCGGCGUGCUUAACACAUGCAAGUCGAACGGAAAGGCCCUGCUUUUGUGGGGUGCUCGAGUGGCGAACGGGUGAGUAACACGUGAGUAACCUGCCCUUGACUUUGGGAUAACUUCAGGAAACUGGGGCUAAUACCGGAUAGGAGCUCCUGCUGCAUGGUGGGGGUUGGAAAGUUUCGGCGGUUGGGGAUGGACUCGCGGCUUAUCAGCUUGUUGGUGGGGUAGUGGCUUACCAAGGCUUUGACGGGUAGCCGGCCGGAGAGGGUGACCGGCCACAUGGGGACUGAGCUACGGCCCAGACUCCUACGGGAGGCAGCAGUGGGGAAUAUUGCACAAUGGGCGGAAGCCUGAUGCAGCAACGCCGCGUGCGGGAUGACGGCCUUCGGGUUGUAAACCGCUUUCGCCUGUGACGAAGCGUGAGUGACGGUAAUGGGUAAAGAAGCACCGGCUAACUACGUG
rnacentral:rRNA from 1 species